AAAAGAAAGAAAGAAAAAAAAAAAAAAGUAGUGACACCAAGCCUGUGCUUUGUGUAUAUAUAUGUUGCCCUACCCCAACCCUGAAGGCACCCAGUCUCCGAAACCGCCUUUCUCUAUUCCUGCGUAUCCCUUCUGUCGUCGUGCUCAUUUACAAGCAAGAUCUUGAUCUUGUAUUCCAUCCCUGUUCCCGUCCGUGAUUUUGCCGGUGGGUCUAUUCCCCCCUUCUGCUUGCUAGGUGUGAGCCGGGGAUCAGUUUCAGAGAAGACAAAAAGAAAGAGAUGGCCGAUACUGGUGUGGUGACCGUUUACGGGAAUGGUGCCAUUACUGAGGCCAAGAAGUCCCCCUUCUCCGUGAAGGUGGGUCUGGCUCAGAUGCUUCGUGGUGGUGUUAUAAUGGACGUUGUCAACGCGGAGCAGGCCAGGAUUGCCGAAGAAGCCGGUGCCUGCGCGGUGAUGGCCCUUGAACGUGUUCCCGCUGACAUCAGGGCACAGGGAGGUGUUGCUCGGAUGAGCGAUCCGGGCCUCAUUAAGGAGAUCAAGCAGGCCGUCACCAUCCCUGUUAUGGCCAAAGCAAGGAUAGGCCAUUUCGUCGAGGCUCAGAUCCUCGAAGCCAUCGGCGUCGACUAUGUUGAUGAGAGCGAGGUUCUUACUGUAGCCGACGAGGAGCACCACAUCAACAAGCACAACUUCCGUGUCCCCUUUGUCUGUGGCUGCCGGAACCUGGGCGAGGCCCUCAGGCGGAUAAGGGAGGGGGCGGCCAUGAUCAGGACUAAAGGAGAAGCUGGGACGGGGAAUAUUAUAGAAGCCGUCAGGCACGUGAGGUCCGUCAUGGGUGAUAUCAGGAUCCUCCGCAACAUGGACGAUGACGAAGUUUUCUCUUUCGCGAAGAAGAUAUCCGCUCCUUAUGACCUGGUGAUGCAGACCAAGCAGCUUGGCAGGCUACCAGUGGUGCACUUCGCUGCCGGUGGCGUAGCCACGCCUGCAGACGCUGCCUUGAUGAUGCAGUUGGGCUGUGAUGGCGUCUUUGUGGGCUCUGGCAUCUUCAAGAGUGGUGAUCCGUCUCGGCGUGCUCGCGCCAUAGUCCAGUCUGUAACCCAUUACAGCGAUCCUGAUAUCCUUGCAGAAGUGAGCUGCGGCUUAGGUGAAGCUAUGGUUGGCCUUAACCUCAAGGAUGAUAAAGUUGAGAGGUAUGCAAGCCGGUCAGAGUGAUCACGGAGCAGCGGUAGCAGCAGCAGAAAGAAGAAACUCGAGAAUGAGCACGACUCUAGCCCAGACCUUCCACAUUACGGCGGAAACUACCAACUUCCAACAUUUGUUCAUCCAGCCUCUUUCGAAAGAGGCUGCCAACCAGUGCUGCAAUUCUUGAGAUACAGCAGAGUGUGGAAUUCUCCUCCACCUGAAUUUAUCAACAAUGAGAUGGCAAGAGUAAGCCACAUAUUUGCAACCAAGGAAAAGAUGCUAGGAGUCUUCCACAUGGUUCAAAGUAACACAACGCACAUCUACUAGCAAUUUGAAGCGACAUUGCAGUCUCUCUGGCGUAGGCACUUUGUUCUCAUAAGCUAGAAAGGGAAUCCACUGGAAUCUGAGGUGGCUAUAGCUAUAUUACAUAUGAAAAGCCCUCCACUUCAUGUAUAGAGUGGAGCUGCGAACACGAUCCCAUUUACUGUUCCUUCUAAAUUUUUGCACCUAUUUACCAUUCCAAAUCGGAAAUGUCUGUUCUGGAUAUAUCAGCCUGGUUAGUUAACUGGAUUUUACUAGUGAUCCGACUAGCCAAGUUAAGGUUCUAACCAUGUCUGAAAUCGGAUAACAUAUACUUAAUAGAAGUAUUUAGGAUAGGUAUCAGUUGGGGACAAAUUUUCGACUGGAACCGAGUUCAAAAGAGUAUAAGAUUGCCACAGGUCAAUCCAAAAUUUGGCCUUCUCGCCGUUUCUCACUCUCCAUUCCACCUGAUUUUUAACCUUGUUCUGCCGCUUAAUCAUGUUCUUCCAUAACCAAGAUUAGAAAAGGUAGUCCUGCCUACUAGUUAUCGAAAAGGGACUUGAUAAUAUGUUGGCGCAUUUCUAUACAACACAAAAGCCAGGAAUCCAGAGGUGGUUUCAACUUACGGAUUUUCGUUUCAAUUCAAAAAAAGGGACUUGGUUGGUAUGUGAAGCAGAUGACACGACAAUAACUGAAUCUUGAUAAUACUAAUGCACACGAGCACAGUGUUUUUGGAGCACGCUUCUAAGUUGGAAGUAUCAAUCUGGAACAUGUAUUCACUCAAGGCACCUCUGAAUUAUUGGCUCGAGAAGUGAUCGGGGUGGCUGGUUUGUCUGUAGAUGGCCUGUUUGGAUAUUUAAUUGUCCCAUCUACCGUGCGCAGAAACAGCCGUGACAGUUGAUUUGUAUUGGCUGCUUUCACAAUCUUUGCACACGCAGCGUCAUAAAAUAUGCUGAUUCCUGUUGAGUUUCCACCGCUAAGAUGUGAGCAUUAUCUCUCUGCUAAGGAGUGUAAAUCCUUUCUGCCGGCUGCUUGUUAUAGACAGAUCCUGAAAUUAAGCACUGUGUGAAAGGAAGCAUAACACGCAGCGUGAUAAGAUAAGUAGAUGGACGGUUAACAUCUGUACAGUACAGAGAUUCCUAUUGAGUUUCCACCACUAAGAUGUAAACAUUAUCUCUGUGCUGAGUGUAAAUCCUUUCUGCCGCUGCUUGUUAUAGACAGAUCCUGAAAUUAAGUGCUGUCUGAAAGCCAGCAUUCUUAACACGGACAAAGUUUACUGUUCAUCUGCGGCUGGACAAGUGGUUAGGUAAAAAAAGUAUCUUAUGUUUUAGGUAUUUAAUUGCAAUAAGAUCAGUUUCUUUGUUA